GGAGCUACGAGGUGGAAGGGUGGAGAGACUGCUGCGCGCCAGCGGUUGAAGAUACUUAAAUUUGCGUUUCUGGAACUUACGGGAAAUUUUGAUUCAUUACCCGAAGUGAGACAGUGUGAGGUCGAUAUAAGCGUGUGUAGAUCAGUGAAUUAUCCUUGGAUAGUUUUACCUUCAAAGAGGGAUAGGUGAAUUCUUCUCCCGUGGAAGUGUGAGAAGGGGAUCGGAAGCAGAUGUGGCAGAAGGGAGCAUAGACCGCCUUCCAGGGUACAGG